rnacentral:rRNA from 1 species
UACGGGGGGGGCAAGCGUUGUUCGGAAUUACUGGGCGUAAAGGGCUCGUAGGCGGCCAACUAAGUCGGACGUGAAAUCCCCAGGCUCAACCUGGGAACUGCGUCCGAUACUGGAUGGCUUGAAUCCGGGAGAGGGAUGCAGAAUUCCAGGUGUAGCGGUGAAAUGCGUAGAUAUCUGGAGGAACACCGGUGGCGAAGGCGGCAUCCUGGACCAACACUGACGCUGAGGAGCGAAAAGCCAGGGGAGCAAACGGG